CACGGGGGGAGCAAGCGUUGUUCGGAAUCACUGGGCGUAAAGGGCGUGUAGGCGGUCAAGUAAGUGGAAUGUGAAAGCCCCCGGCUUACCCGGGGAUCUGCAUCCCAAACUGCUUGGCUUGAGUACGGGAGAGGAUAGGGGAAUUCCUGGUGUAGCGGUGAAAUGCGUAGAUAUCAGGAGGAACACCGGUGGCGAAGGCGCCUAUCUGGCCCGAUACUGACGCUGAGGCGCGAAAGCGUGGGGAGCAAACGGG
rnacentral:rRNA from 1 species